rnacentral:rRNA from 1 species
AAUGGGCGAAAGCCUGAUCCAGCCAUGCCGCGUGAGUGAUGAAGGCCUUAGGGUUGUAAUGCUCUUUUGGCGGGGACGAUAAUGACGGUACCCGCAGAAUAAGCCCCGGCUAACUUCGUGCCAGCAGCCGCGGUAAUACGAAGGGGGCUAGCGUUGUUCGGAAUUACUGGGCGUAAAGCGCACGUAGGCGGACUAGCAAGUCAGGGGUGAAAUCCCGGGGCUCAACCUCGGAACUGCCUUUGAUACUGCCAGUCUAGAGUCCGGAAGAGGUGGGUGGAAUUCCUAGUGUAGAGGUGAAAUUCGCAGAUAUUAGGAAGAACACCGGUGGCGAAGGCGGCCCACUGGUCCGGAACUGACGCUGAGGUGCGAAAGCGUGGGGAGCAAA